UACACGUGGACAACCUACCCUUAGGCCUGGGAUAACCCCGGGAAACUGGGAAUAAUACCGGAUAUCUCGCGAAUGCUGGAAUGCGUCGCGAUAGAAAGCUCCGGCGCCUAAGGAUGGGUCUGCGGCCUAUCAGGGUAGUAGUGGGUGUAACGUACCUACUAGCCUACGACGGGUACGGGUUGUGAGAGCAAGAGCCCGGAGAUGGAUUCUGAGACACGAAUCCAGGCCCUACGGGGCGCAGCAGGCGCGAAAACUUUACAAUGCCGGCAACGGCGAUAAGGGGACCUCGAGUGCCAGGAUACAAUCCUGGCUGUCGUAAUGCCUAAAAAGCAUUGCAUAGCAAGGGCCGGGCAAGACCGGUGCCAGCCGCCGCGGUAACACCGGCGGCUCGAGUGGUAACCGCUAUUAUUGGGUCUAAAGGGUCUGUAGCCGGCUGACUAAGUCUCUUGAGAAAUCUGGCAGCUCAACUGUCAGGCCUUCAGGAGAUACUGAUCGGCUCGAGACCGGGAGAGGUGAGAGGUACCUCAGGGGUAGGGGUGAAAUCUUGUAAUCCUUGAGGGACCACCAGUGGCGAAGGCGUCUCACCAGAACGGAUCUGACGGCAAGGGACGAAAGCUAGGGGCACGAACCGGAUUAGAUACCCGGGUAGUCCUAGCCGUAAACGAUACUCGCUAGGUGUCGGCCACAGUGCGACCGUGGUCGGUGCCGUAGGGAAGCCGUGAAGCGAGCCACCUGGAA
rnacentral:rRNA from 1 species